AAUCAACGCUGGCGGCGUGCCUCAGACAUGCAAGUCGAACGCGAAAGUUCCCUUCGGGGGAUAAGUAGAGUGGCGUCCGGGUGAGUAACACGUAGGUAAUCUACCUUUGGGUGGGGAAUAACAACCGGAAACGGUUGCUAAUACCGCAUAAUGCAGCGGCACCACAUGGUGACAGUUGUUAAAGCGGGGGAUCGCAAGACCUCGCGCCUAAAGAGGAGCCUGCGGCGGAUUAGCUAGUUGGAGGGUAACGGCCUACCAAGGCAACGAUCCGUAGCCGGCCUGAGAGGGCGGUCGGCCACACUGACACUGAAAUACGGGUCAGACUCCUACGGGA
rnacentral:rRNA from 1 species